rnacentral:tRNA from 1 species
GUUGUUUUGGCAGAUUAGUGCGGUAAAUUUAGAAUUUAUAUAUGUAUAAUAUACAAACAAUA